UCCGUAUAAUAAUGAUGAUCCGACGGAGAUGGAUGUGUGCGUGUUCACAGCUGCUGGAAUAGUCAACGACCAGGGUAACCUAAAUAUCGACAGAUUCCAGAAAAUCUUUGAACAUAAUCUCACCGAUAGUGAACAAAACGAUCUUUUUGACUAUAUGUUAGACCAAUACGACUGCCUAAGGAGAGCUGAAACCGAAUUACACAUUAAUGCGCAAAAGACUAUCCGAGUUUGGAACCGGUGUGAAAACGUGAAUGGCACCAAAAUGUCAUUGGAGAUAGCAGUAUGCGGACGAUGAUGC